rnacentral:rRNA from 1 species
CUGGCUCAGAACGAACGCUGGCGGCGUGCUUAACACAUGCAAGUCGAACGCGAAAGGGACUUCGGCCUGAGUAAAGUGGCGCACGGGUGAGUAACGCGUAGAUAACCUGUCUUUAUGUCUGGAAUAAUACGCCGAAAGGGGUACUAAUGCCGGAUAUUUUUGCAUUGCAUAAGCAGUGUAAGCAAAGGUGGCCUCUGACAUAAGCUACUGCAUAAAGAGGGGUCUGCGUACCAUUAGCUAGUAGGUGGGGUAAAGGCCUACCUAGGCUACGAUGGUUAGCGGGUCUGAGAGGAUGAUCCGCCACACUGGCACUGGAACACGGGCCAGACUCCUACGGGAGGCAGCAGUGAGGAAUAUUGCGCAAUGGGGGCAACCCUGACGCAGCGACGCCGCGUGAGUGAAGGAAGGCCUUCGGGUCGUAAAGCUCUGUCAAAGGGAAAGAAGUGCAUGGUGGUUAAUACCUGCCAUGUUUGACGGUACCCUUAAAGGAAGCACCGGCUAACUCCGUGCCAGCAGCUGC